GAGGGAAGAAGUUUAUUGACGGUACCUCAUGAAUAAGGGGCUCCUAAUCUCGUGCCAGCAGGAGCGGUAAUACGAGAGCCCCGAGCGUUAUCCGGAAUUAUUGGGCGUAAAGGGUGCGUAGGUGGCACUGUUAGUCGAUUGUUAAAACUUGGGGCUUAACCCCAAAGAUGCGAUCGAAACGGCAGAGCUAGAGAGUGUGAGGGGUGAAUGGAACUCAUGGUGUAGGGGUGAAAUCCGUUGAUAUCAUGGGGAACACCAAAAGCGAAGGCAAUUCACUGGCACAUAUCUGACACUCAAGCACGAAAGCGUGGGUAGCGAAUGGGAUUAGAUACCCCAGUAGUCCACGCCCUAAACGAUGUUCAUUAGUCUUUCGGAGUAUCGACCCUCUGAGAGACGUAGCUAACGCGUUAAAUGAACCGCCUGGGAAGUACGGCCGCAAGGCUAAAACUCAAAGGAAUAGACGGGGACUUGCACAAGCGGUGGAUUAUGUGGUUUAAUUCGAUGAUAAACGAAGAACCUUACCAAGGUUAGAAAUCAACGUGAAAGCCCCAAGAAACUGGGGCCCUCGCAAGACUAGUUGACAGGUGAUGCAUGGCCGUCGUCAGUUCGUGGUUUGAAUUGUUCCCUUAAGUGGGGUAACGAACGCAACCCUCGUCGUGUGUUAUAAGUGUCACACGAGACUGCCCCGACCCAAGUUUUUGAACAUAUGUUCGAAAGUUUCGGUCGGGGAGGAAGGGGAGGAUGACGCCAGGUCAGCAUGUCCCUUGAUACCUUGGGCUACACACAUAAUACAAUCGCCACUACAACGGGCAGCGACGGAGUAAUCCUGAGCGAAUCCUAAUAAAAGUGGCGUCAGUUCGGAUUGGGGGCUGCAACUCGACCCCAUGAAGCUGGAAUCGCUAGUAAUCGCGGGUCAGAUAUACCGCGGUGAAUACGUUCUCAAGUCUUGUACUCACCGCCCGUCAAUUCAAGGGAGCCGGGAAUACCCGAAAUCUCUCCAAAAGGAGGGCCUACGGUAAGCUCGGUGACAGGGAAUAAGUCGUAACAAGGCACGGCUAGCGGAAGCUGGUCGUGGAAUAAUUCAAUU
rnacentral:rRNA from 1 species